rnacentral:lncRNA from 1 species
UUUGAGCAUGGUAAUUUUCCUUUUCAUCAAUCACAUACAUUCCCUAUAUUUUUCUACCAAUGCCAAAAUUUCAAGUAAAGGGUAGCAUGAAAUUUCUUCAACUUUUUACUCAAUUAAACACUAACCCAUUCAAUUCUCAUGCCAAUAAAUAAAAUUUCAUCACAAUAUCACAAAUUACUACAACCAAUAUGCUAAUCACAAAGUUCCAUAAUCAAGCCCAUCAUCACCCAAGCAUACAUGUAUGAAAUUUCUACAUUCAACACAAUUCAAUUAUAUUUACUACUA